AUGCUGAAGAACGUCUUGAGUCAGUCAUGGAGGAGGGGAGCGCAUGUCCUACGGGAAGGGCAUCCAGCUGAAGCAAUGUAUGCUUGUUCAAGUCAAUUUCACAGCGGGCAGGUGUUGAGGUCGGCGAGGAGCUUCUUCGGCGUGGAGGACUUCAUGGACGAGGACAACAGCAAGCCCUACACGUACAAGAAGGAGAAGCGGUCCAAGAACCCGCACAAGCACAUCUCGUUCAAGCAGCGGACGAUUGCGCACAUGGAGCCCUUCACCCUGGACGUGUUCAUCUCGAAGCGGUUUGUAUCGGCGUCGCUGACCCACCGGUCGACGUGCCGGCAGGUGGCGGUGGCGGGCACCAACUCCAAGGACGUGAAGGCGGCGCUGAUGUCGCGGUCGGACGUGCCGGCGUGCCUGUCGGUGGGGCGGUUCCUGGCGGAGCGGGCCAAGGAGGCGGACGUGUACGCGUGCACCUACACGCCCCGGGAGCGGGACCGGUUCGAGGGCAAGAUCAGGGCUGUCGUGCAGUCGCUCAUCGACAACGGCAUCCACGUCAAGCUCUACCUCGACUGA
rnacentral:rRNA from 1 species